rnacentral:rRNA from 1 species
AGUGAACGCUGGCGGCAGGCCUAACACAUGCAAGUCGAACGGCAGCACAGCAGUAGCAAUACUGUGGGUGGCGAGUGGCGGACGGGUGAGGAAUGCAUCGGAAUCUGCCUAUUUGUGGGGGAUAACGUAGGGAAACUUACGCUAAUACCGCAAACGUCCUACGGGAGAAAGUGGGGGACCGCAAGGCCUCACGCAGAUAGAUGAGCCGAUGCCGGAUUAGCUAGUUGGCGGGGUAAAGGCCCACCAAGGCGACGAUCCGUAGCUGGUCUGAGAGGAUGAUCAGCCACACUGGAACUGAGACACGGCCCAGACUCCGACGGGAGGCAGCAGUGGGGAAUAUGGGACAAUGGGCGCAAGCCUGCUCCAGCCAUGCCGCGUGAGUGAAGAAGGCCUUCGGGUUGUAAAGCUCUUUUGUCCGGAAAGAAAAGCAUUCGGUUAAUAACCGGGUGUCAUGACGGUACCGGAAGAAUAAGCACCGGCUAACUUCGUGCCAGCCGCCGCCGUAACAC